GGAGGAGGAGGCCGGGAACGCCGACUCUGGCCUGAUCUCUGUCCUUAGGCUCCCUCUAGAGUUUACAGCGACCGAGCAAAAGGUCUUCAGCUCCGCUUGGCUGCAUCCUCCCGUUGCGGUGCGGCCGCAUCCAGGCUCCUGCCCGCAGCAGGGCAGCGGGAGCGGCUGCUGGCAGGGAUGCUGCUGGCUGGGAUGCUGCUGGCAGGGAUGCUGCCCGCCGGGCUCUGGCACCCUUCCCUAAUGCUGAACCCUAACCCUGGCCACGAGGAGCCCGUUAAGUGCCUCGGGAGUAUCCUCAGGGUGCUCAGGUGAAUUUUCCUGGGGUCUGUGGCUCCGGCCUUGCAGCGGCCUCAUCCCAGGUCUCUGGAAGAAGUCAGGGUUUUGUCAGAAAAAGCAGAGGUGGUAUGGGAGCAGCGUCAACUCAGUGGCAGCUGAGAUGGGGGAGAACUCCCCGAAGCCUCCAGCUUCCUGACGGGUCACCCCAUGCUCUUGCCUUCCCCAUCCUCAAGCCGGGAGGAGGGUGCACCCCGUGGAGUACCAUCCCCAGCCCACCUGCGGCUUGCGAGGGAGCCCCAGGUCACCCCCCUCGCUGAGUGCGGCUCGGAUGCGCCUCGCCGUUUCGCCUAACAGCCUUAUAAAGUGCUGGGAGAGGAGAGUGGCCGGGAAGAGGGCGGGAAGCCUGCCUGAGCGGUGCUGGAAGGGAGAGAAGCAGCCGGCAGCUUUGCCCGUGGGGAAGCCCAGACGCCAGAGGGGAGCAGGGCGCCGGGGGGAGUGGGGACGGGGCGUUCAGGGGGCUGAAAGGAGCCAGGACAUCCUCGCACAAAACAGACCCCCCUGGGGACACCCCUCCCCAGGUCACUCCUCCGAGCCCGCCGCUUGCUCUCCUUUGGUUUUAUUCGCCUUUCCCUCUUGCAAGCCCGUAUUCCGAGCUUUUCACCGGCUGCUUCUUCAGCUCCAGAGGCGACAGGGGGAAGACAAGCGGCCACCCCGACGGGAGCCGCCCGGACCUCGCCCCCCGCCUCAUUCCCAGCGCCUCCUCCCCGCAGGCCCCCGGGCCGGGCUGCUGUGCCCUCCUUUUGCAAGACGAUGGCGCUCUCAUCUUUCUGCAGCCCUCCUCCGGGGCUCUGUAGUAUUUUUUCACGCUUCGCUGCUACUACGGGCAGGCGCCUGCCUCUCUCACGAUUUGCUGCGGCCAUCGGGGGUGCCUGACUGUAAACAAAACACUUUAGAUCAUGGCAAGGUCGCUGCAGACACAGCCUUUCUCCUUCGCAGCCGCCGCGAUUUAAGAUGCUACAGACAGAAACCAGUGCUCUUCGCUGCUGCAGUCAUGUUCCUGUUUGUUUACUUGUGAGGCUACAUGGUCUUUACGAAUGCUUGCACCCCAUUACUACCAUCAUCAAUCAUUGCCGUCAUUAUGAUAUGAUUCUGUACUCUGGUACACUGCCACAAUCCUACCAGCAAGCAGCUUGCCUUUCUUUUCUGGGCUUGGGUUCAGGCAGUGACUCCCAGCAAAGCAGGGACCAGAGAGUGGGAACUACUUACCUGAGAAGGUUCCAGCAGGUUGCCAGUUGGCACUGCAGCAAGACAACCCCCGUCAGCACCACGAGCCCUGGGCAUCUUCAGGAGCCCCAUGACAUAUUUUGUAGAUUGCCUUCCUAGUACACACCCCCGCUCCUGUGCAACACACAAAUGAAAUGUCCCACACCUGACAGAGAAAGUAGAACAGAAGUUUGAAAUGGCACUUCCUGGAUGGUGCCUAUGAAAGUCAAAGACAGGAAAGCCUGGAAAAAUGGAGAAUAAAUCCUUCAAAUGAAGCAGAUGAAUAGGCCUCACUUUGCCAGCUCAUGCAGCUUUAUCAUAGAGUUGCAACUUCAAAAAAAAAAAAAA